rfam:Solanum tuberosum cultivar DM 1-3 516 R44 scf00045_91, whole genome shotgun sequence.
UUGGAAGAUUUGAAGACUUCAGCUUGCAUACUUGGAGGAUUUGAAGACUUCAACUUGUAUACUUGAAGGAUUUGAAGACUUCAAUU